AGAGCCCGGCAGCGGCGGCGGGGCCCCUUGAGCCCGCGGCCGCGCCCCGCGCCCGCCCGCGCCCGCCGCCCCGGACCCCGGUCCUGAGGAAGCUCUCGUACUCGGCCAGGUUGUUGAAGCAGGAAAGAGGUUAAGUGGCCUUGAAAAUACCCCUGGUGAGACAAUGAUCAUGCUGACAACUCCACAAAAUCAAUCUAUGGAAUGUUUACACAAGGACUUCCAAACUACAAAUUUGUUCAGCCAAAGUUGCCAACUUGGAAACUGGCACAAAACCCUGAUUCUCCCUGGAAUUCCUGAAUUCAGAGGCAUCAUGCAGCGACCAACCUAUUAUCUCCAGGUCAAAGUACACGGGAGGAAAGGUGAGAUUUUCAAGGUUAGUGCAUUCUGUAGUUAAGAACAGGUGGUUGAGAGUAAAGUUUGGAUUCAUGUUCUGUCAUAGGUGGAAAAAGCUUGACACUUAUGCCACAAUCUAAAAAUGAUUCAUUCUGCCUAGCAUAAAAUAGUUCUUGCUUUAUAAAAAUAGCACCACGAUUAAAAAAAAAAAUG